rnacentral:rRNA from 1 species
AUUGAACGCUGGCGGCAUGCCUUAUACAUGCAAGUCGAACGGUAACGGGCCUUCGGGUGCCGACGAGUGGCGAACGGGUGAGUAAUACAUCGGAACGUGCCCGAUCGUGGGGGAUAACGAGGCGAAAGCUUUGCUAAUACCGCAUACGAUCUACGGAUGAAAGCAGGGGACCGCAAGGCCUUGCGCGGACGGAGCGGCCGAUGGCAGAUUAGGUAGUUGGUGGGAUAAAAGCUUACCAAGCCGACGAUCUGUAGCUGGUCUGAGAGGAUGAUCAGCCACACUGGGACUGAGACACGGCCCAGACUCCUACGGGAGGCAGCAGUGGGGAAUUUUGGACAAUGGGCGCAAGCCUGAUCCAGCCAUGCCGCGUGCAGGAUGAAGGCCUUCGGGUUGUAAACUGCUUUUGUACGGAACGAAAAGCCUUCUUUUAAUACAGGAGGGUCAUGACGGUACCGUAAGAAUAAGCACCGGCUAACUACGUG